rnacentral:lncRNA from 1 species
CUGGCAUGUACUGAAAUUUCUUUUCCAUGAUGCGUGCCAAGGACCUUAUUGGUCCUGAGUUAAAUUCCUUCUUGGCGGAUGAGAGAGGCCUAGAAGCCAGUGAGUAAGUACAUAGAGAGACAGAGACAGAGAUCCAGUCCUAUCUCCCCCACCCCUCUGACUGCCACCCAGAUGCCACCUUGGGAAGGUUAUCUGAGGGACUGACCUUUUUCUCCAAAUACGGGUGACUACCUAAACGAACCAUUCAAAUCACAAAACUGAUCUAUGCAAUGCAUUAAUGGUUAACCGACGAGUAGAGAGAUUCUUUUUGAAAGGCAGAUUAUAGACAAAAUAAAGAAUUUAUAUUUUCUCUGCAUAUCUGAAUUUGCAGUGUGAGUGAACUUAGUGACACUUCAGUUCAAGUUAAACCAACAGUUUAAAUUUCUGUCUCCUUUUCGGUUUCCCUAGAAAAUCAUCAGAUGUUGAUAUUCCGCAGCAUGUAACAUGGGAUGUAUUACUUAUCUUGGUUUUGGUUGAAGACUAUCAGCACAGAGCUCCUCUGCAGCCACUGGGAGCCAUCUCCACCACAUCUACCUUCCUAUUUCAGAAGGAAUCUAACUUAAUUUAAAAAGACUGUGUUGGUAGGUUUAGUUAUAUUUUUUAAAAUGCCCCCCAAUGGUUAUGAAGGAGGGAACAAGCACAGGUGAUUUUUGAGGGCAGUGAAACUAUUUUAUAUGUUACUAGAGUGGUGGAUACAUAUUAUAAAUUUGUCAAAUUUUAUGGUAUACAAAUGCCACAUUUUUUUAUCCAUUCAUCCACUGAAGGGCAUCUAGAUUGGCUCCACAGUUUAGCUACUGUGAAUUGUGCUGCUAUAAACAUUGAUGUGGCUGUGUCCCUGUAGUAUGCUGUUUUUAGGUCCUUUGGGUAUAGUCUGAGAAGAGGAAUAGCUGGGUCAAAUGGUGGUUCCAUUCCCAGAUUUCCAAGGGAUCUCCAUACUGCUUUCCAAAUUGGCUGCACCAAUUUGCAGUCCCACCAGCAUUACUUAGCACUAAAAAAGGACAAGAUCAUGGCAUUUGCAGGUAAAUGGAUGACGUUAGAGAAGAUUAUGCUAAGUAAAGUUAGCCAAUCCCCCCAAAAUCAAAUGCGGAAUGUUUUCUCUGAUAUAAGGAGGGGGUGACUCAAAGUGGAGUUGGGAGGGAGAGCACGGGAGGAAGAUUAUCUCUAGAUAGGGAAGAGGGUUGGGAGAGAAAGUGAGGGAGAAGGGGAAGAGCAAGGAUGGUGGAAGGAGACGGUCAUCAUUAUACAAAAUACAUGUAUGAAGAUUUGAAUUUGGUGUCAACAUACCUUAUAUACAAACAGAGAUAUGAUAAAUUAUGGUAUAAAUGUGUAUUAAGAAUUGUAAUGCAAAAAAAGAGUACAUGUAUAAUGGCAUAACUUGGCGUGAACAUACUUUAUAUACAGAGUUAUGAAAAAUUGUGCUGUAAAUGGGUAAUAAUGAGUGUAAUGCAUUCCACUAUUGUCAUGUAUGUAAAAAAUGAAUUUAAAAAACUUAUGGUAUUAUAGAACACAAAGAAGAAUACGCAUGUAAACUAUAGACUUUGGCUGACAAUGCUGUGGAUUUGUCACGUGGCACGUACGUUGACAUGGGGGAGACUGUGUUGGGUGUGGAGGGGGUACAUGGGAACUUUGUGCUUGAUGCUAAACUUUGCUGUUAACCUACAAUUGCUCUAAAUAAUUAAGUUCAUUUAUUCAACUCAAUUGAAAAAGAAAUAAAACAUCUACCCUCUUGUU